rnacentral:sRNA from 1 species
CCAUGUUCUGUCCGAAAAAUCCUCCAGACAGUCUGAUGAUAUCAGUGACUGUUUGGUCCUUCUCAGCCCUGCCUGCCAGAUUCAUAGAGGAUAUGAGAAACCAGAAGGCCACAGAAGGGGCUACAGUCACACUGCAAUGUAAGCUGAGAAAGGCGGCCCCCGUGGAGUGGAGAAAGGGGCCCAGCACCCUCAAAGAUGGGGACAGGUACAGCCUGAAGCAGGAUGGGACCAGUUGUGAGCUGCAGAUUCGUGGCCUGGUCAUAGCAGAUGCUGGAGAAUACUCGUGCAUAUGUGAGCAGGAGAGGACCUCGGCCACGCUCACUGUCAGGGGUAAAGACCACAUGUGACCACCUGAGUGACUUCUGUCUUCCCCCACUUAACCCACAUGUUUUGUGCUCUCCCAAUGUCUCUCAAUGUCGUUGACAUUUUAUUCAGUCACUCAUCUGUGUGGUCCGUCUCACAAAUGCAUGCUGAGGACCCACUUGGAUGGCCUAAUCUAGGGCCUGGGCAUACAGACCCCAAGGGUGAAUAGUGCAGGGUCCCCAGGUGUCAGGAAGGGAGAGCAGCAGGCAGGUGUCAGGGUCCAGGAGAGCUGUCUGGGGCCCCUGCCAUCUUGCAAAGGCCUGUGGAUGUCCACCAGCUCUUGAGCCUCAGGCAUGGAGGUCAGGAAAUGUAUGUCCUUUGACAGACAUAGCGAUGGCUCAGGCCAGGCCCCUCUUCAGGCUGGUGAGUGUUCUGAUUGAUCCUUGUGGUCAUUCCAAGCUUCUAAAGGAGUAUUGUCUUCAUCUGCUCAGGCUAACGUAACAAAGCACUGCAGACAGGGUGGCUCAAAUAACACAGAUUUAUUUUCUCAGAAGUAUGGGGCUGAAAUCUCAAGAUCAAGAUGUCAGCUCCUCUCUUCUUGUAGACAGCUGUCUUCUCCCCAUGUCUUCACAUGGAUGUCCCUCUGUGUGCAUAUGUGUGUCCUAACCUCUUUUUAUAAGAGCACCAGUCAUACUGGAUUUGGAACCACCCUAACAACCUCAUUUUACCUUUCAAUGAUUGUCUUUAAAUACAGUGAUAUUCUGACGUGUACUGGGGGUUAGGACUUCAACAUAUGCAUUUUUUCUGAGGCACAAUUCAGACCAUAACACUCCACCAUCUGGAUUCUCAAAAUUCAUGGCCUUCUCACGUGCAAAAUAUGUUUGCUUCUUCCUAACAGUCCCAAAUCUUAGCCCAUUUCAAUAUCAACUAGUCCAAAUCACCUCUAAAUAUCAUCUGAGUCAACUGUGAGGGAGAUAAAGUGUGACUUAUACAGAGGCAAAAUUUUUCUUCAUCUGUGAGGCUGUGAAAUCAGACAAGUUAUUUGUUUUGAAGUCACAAUGGUGGGACAGGCAUAGGAUGGACAUUCUGAAUCAGGGAGAAACUGGAAAGGAGGAAUGAGUCACGGGUCCCAAGUAAGGUGUAACCCUAGCAGGACAAAUAUCAUUAGGUUUUAAGGCUUUGGAUUAAUACCUAGUCCUCUCGACCCAACAGGGUUGCAACUCUACCCCCUCAGCCCUGAGUGGAGGUGUCUGGCUCUCUGUAACUGAGGAGGAGACAGCCUUACUUCCAGGCCUGUGCCCUCUACCCUCUGGUUAUAAUGCCAUUCCUGUCAACUCCUGAACCAACUUUUGGGUCAUUAUUCCUUUUUCUUACAGAAUAUCUUGUUUAUAUCCAUGUAGCUCUAUUGGCCCAUCCUGUGGAUUCUCAGAAGUCUGACAUCCUUCCUUCAUUUUGUCCCAUCUCUGUUCGAAUCAGUUCAAGCUAGCAGCAUUUCCUCUGGUAUAAAGGUCUCAAAAACUUUGUCCCAUGUGAUUCAUGUGGGUCAAAGCCACCAGACAAAAGAAUUCUCCACAGAUCUUUCCUUGAUAAUCUUAUUUUUAUUACUGGCUUCUGCUGAGAGGGCUGAAUGGAUCCAUAAACCACACACCUGAUCUGUUUAGCAAAUGGUUGUCCAGUGUGGAUAUUCUCCCCAGAAUAAUGCUUUCUCAUUUUUUUUUGCAGUAUGUAUAGCCUGAAAAUUUUUCUGUAUCUUCAAGCUCUGGUUCCUUUUUGCUUAACAAAUCCUUUUUGAAUUUAUCUCUCUCCUCUCACAUUUUCAUAUUAGAGAGAAAUCAGGCUAUGGUUUCAAUUCUUUGGUUAGAAACUUCCUCAGGUAAAUAUAUCCAAUUUUGUUGUUUGCAAGUCCUACCCUCCACAAAACACUAGAAUAAAAUUUGACCAGGUUUUUGGCUACUUUAUAACA